ACGAACGCUGGCGGCGCGCUUAAGACAUGCAAGUCGAACGAGGUUCACCGAGGAGCUUGCUCCAUGGUGACACCGAGUGGCGGACGGGUGAGUAACACGUGGGUAACCUGCCCAGCAAUCGGGGAUAACCCCGGGAAACCGGGGCUAAUACCGGAUAGGCAUCGUCGGCUCUGGCCGGAGGAUGCAAAGGGGGUGCAAGCCCCUGUUGUUGGAUGGGCCCGCGGGCCAUUAGCUUGUUGGUGGGGUAACGGCCUACCAAGGCGACGAUGGCUAGCCGGUUUGAGAGGAUGGCCGGCCACACUGGGACUGAGACACGGCCCAGACUCCUACGGGAGGCAGCAGUCGGGAAUCUUGGGCAAUGGGGGCAACCCUGACCCAGCGACGCCGCGUGAGCGACGAAGGCCUUCGGGUCGUAAAGCUCUGUCUUGAGGGAAGAAGGCCGAGUGGAGGCAAUGCCGCUCGGAUGACGGUACCUCAAGAGGAAGCCCCGGCUAACUACGUGCCAGCAGCCGCGGUAAUACGUAGGGGGCGAGCGUUGUCCGGGAUGACUGGGCGUAAAGGGCGUCUAGGCGGCUUGUUAAGUCCUAUGUGAAAGACCACGGCUCAACCGUGGAGGUGCGUGGGAAACUGGUAGGCUUGAGGGCAGGAGAGGGAAGCGGAAUUCCUGGUGUAGCGGUGAAAUGCGUAGAUAUCAGGAAGAACACCAGUGGCGAAAGGCGGCUUCCUGGACUGUACCUGACGCUGAAGCGCGAAAGCGUGGGGAGCGAACGGGAUUAGAUACCCCGGUAGUCCACGCCGUAAACGAUGAGUGCUAGGUGUGGGAGGUAUCGACCCCUCCCGUGCCGGAGCUAACGCACUAAGCACUCCGCCUGGGGAGUACGGCCGCAAGGCUGAAACUCAAAGGAAUUGACGGGGGCCCGCACAAGCAGUGGAGCAUGUGGUUUAAUUCGAAGCAACGCGAAGAACCUUACCCGGGUUUGACAUCCCUGGAAAACGGUAGAGAUACCGUCCCCCUUCGGGGCCAGGUGACAGGCGCUGCAUGGUUGUCGUCAGCUCGUGUCGUGAGAUGUUGGGUUAAGUCCCGCAACGAGCGCAACCCCUGUUCCGUGUUACCAGCAUUCAGUUGGGGACUCACGGAAGACUGCCGGUGACAAACCGGAGGAAGGUGGGGAUGACGUCAAAUCAUCAUGGCCCUUAUGUCCGGGGCUACACACGUGCUACAAUGGCCGGCACAACGGGCAGCGAAGGAGCGAUCCGGAGCGAAUCCCUCAAAGCCGGUCCCAGUUCGGAUCGUAGGCUGAAACCCGCCUGCGUGAAGCCGGAAUUGCUAGUAAUCGCGGAUCAGAACGCCGCGGUGAAUACGUUCCCGGGCCUUGCACUCACC
rnacentral:rRNA from 1 species